rnacentral:rRNA from 1 species
UAAUACCGCAUAAUGCAGCGGCUCGACAUCGAGACAGUUGUUAAAGCGGGGGAUCGCAAGACCUCGCGCCUGAAGAGAAGCCUGCGGCGGAUUAGCUUGUUGGUAGGGUAAUGGCCUACCAAGGCGACGAUCCGUAACCGGCCUGAGAGGGCGGUCGGUCACACUGACACUGACAUACGGGUCAGACUCCUACGGGAGGCAGCAGUCGGGAAUUUUGGGCAAUGGGCGAAAGCCUGACCCAGCAACGCCGCGUGAAGGAUGAAAUCCCUCGGGAUGUAAACUUCGUAAGAACAGGAAGAAUAAGUGGGGGACAAUACCCCCCAUGAUGACGGUACUGUUUGUAAGCUCCGGCUAACUCCGUGCCAGCAGCCGCGGUAAUACGGGGGGAGCAAGCGUUGUUCGGAUUUACUGGGCGUAAAGGGCGCGUAGGCGGUCGUGACAAGUCACUUGUGAAAUCUCCGGGCUUAACUCGGAAAGGUCAAGUGAUACUGUCGGACUAGAGUACAGAAGGGGCAACUGGAAUUCUCGGUGUAGCGGUGAAAUGCGUAGAUAUCGAGAGGAACACCUGCGGCGAAGGCGGGUUGCUGGGCUGAUACUGACGCUGAGGCGCGAAAGCUAGGGGAGCGAACGG